GUCCCGGACCGAAUAUACCGAAGAAUUCUAGCCAUCAGAUUUAGAGAUAGUAAACUAAUAAUAGCCAUUAGAUUUAGGGGGGUAUAUAUAUAGAACAUACGGCUAGGGUUUCUUAUUUUCUUCUUUCUUUUUUCCGCCUCUCAGAGAAGGAGAAGAACUCCAUUAGAGUUACAGGGAAGAGUUUUAUUCUUAAUCUUCUCUUCUCCAUUAGACUUCAACUCCACGAACACCAGUUACACUUACACCACCUCUAGAUCGAGAAGAAGAAGGAGAAAUUGUUAACCAAGGGGUUAUAUCACGCCAAGGAGAAGACGAAGGGAAAGGAUUCAAGGAACCAUCCAGCUCAGAAAUUGUUAAUCAAGGAGUUCCACUGGUUCUAUCAUAGCCACCACCAGUGCUGCC